UGGGAGCCUAUGAUGGUGAUAAAUAUACUCUGAGCAACAGCUAUGAAAACAAUUACACUCUGAGGCAAUUA
rnacentral:snoRNA from 1 species